GUGGCGGACGGGUGAGGAACGCGUGAGAACCUGCCUCAAGGUCAGGGACAACAGUUGGAAACGACUGCUAAUACCGGAUGAGCCUUCGGGUAAAAGAUUUAUCGCCUAGAGAGGGGCUCGCGUCUGAUUAGCUAGAUGGUGAGGUAAAGGCUUACCAUGGCGACGAUCAGUAGCUGGUCUGAGAGGAUGAGCAGCCACACUGGGACUGAGACACGGCCCAGACUCCUACGGGAGGCAGCAGUGGGGAAUUUUCCGCAAUGGGCGAAAGCCUGACGGAGCAAUACCGCGUGAGGGAGGAAGGCUCUUGGGUUGUAAACCUCAAAACUUAGGGAAGAAAAAAAUGACGGUACCUAAUGUAAGCAUCGGCUAACUCCGUGCCAGCAGCCGCGGUAAUACGGAGGAUGCAAGCGUUAUCCGGAAUCAUUGGGCGUAAAGAGUCCGUAGGUGGCACUUCAAGUCUGCUUUCAAAGACCGAAGCUCAACUUCGGAAAGGGAGUGGAAACUGAAGAGCUAGAGUAUAGUAGGGGUAGAGGGAAUUCCUAGUGUAGCGGUGAAAUGCGUAGAGAUUAGGAAGAACACCAGUGGCGAAGGCGCUCUACUGGGCAUAUACUGACACUGAGGGACGAAAGCUAGGGGAGCGAAAGGGAUUAGAUACCCCUGUAGUCCUA
rnacentral:rRNA from 1 species